rnacentral:rRNA from 1 species
GGACGAACGCUGGCGGCGUGCCUAACACAUGCAAGUCGAACGAGAAAGUGGAGCAAUCCAUGAGUAAAGUGGCGUACGGGUGAGUAGCACGUGACUAACCUACCUUCGAGUGGGGGAUAACCUCGGGAAACCGGGGCUAAUACCGCAUAACAUCUUUGGAGUGGAAAUUCUGGAGAUCAAAGGAGCAAUUCGCUUCUGGAGGGGGUCGCGGCCGAUUAGUUAGUUGGCAGGGUAAUGGCCUACCAAGACGAUGAUCGGUAUCCGGCCUGAGAGGGCGCACGGACACACUGGAACUGAAACACGGUCCAGACUCCUACGGGAGGCAGCAGUGGGGAAUUUUGCGCAAUGGGCGAAAGCCUGACGCAGCAACGCCGCGUGAGGGAUGAAGGCCUUCGGGUUGUAAACCUCUUUCAGCAGGGAAGAAGCGAAAGUGACGGUACCUGCAGAAGAAGCACCGGCUAACUACGUGCCAGCAGCCGCGGUAAUACGUAGGGUGCAAGCGUUGUCCGGAAUUAUUGGGCGUAAAGAGCUCGUAGGCGGUCUGUCGCGUCUGCUGUGAAAACCUGGGGCUUAACCCCGGGCCUGCAGUGGGUACGGGCAGACUAGAGUGCGGUAGGGGAGACUGGAAUUCCUGGUGUAGCGGUGGAAUGCGCAGAUAUCAGGAGGAACACCGAUGGCGAAGGCAGGUCUCUGGGCCGCAACUGACGCUGAGGAGCGAAAGCAUGGGGAGCGAACAGGAUUAGAUACCCUGGUAGUCCAUGCCGUAAACGUUGGGCACUAGGUGUGGGGCUCAUUCCACGAGUUCCGUGCCGCAGCAAACGCAUUAAGUGCCCCGCCUGGGGAGUACGGCCGCAAG